UGGUCCCGCCGACUGCUCUGGGUCACCACGUGCCUGAGCUCUGCAUGUCCACCUCACAGCACAACAGCAACGUAGCUAAUGUGACUGAGAAGCUAACCGCGACCACCAAGCCGCCAGAAACCUGUGAGAGAUUCAAAAGCUGUGUUUCCUGUGUUAAUGCCACCAUCACUAAUAGUAUUACCUGCGCUUGGAUAGAUUGCCAAGAAGCAAAUAAGACCUAUUGUUCAAGUGAAUUAGUACGUGCUUAUACCCGAGUGAACAGCACUGACGUCUGUUCUGUAGUACCUCCGACCACUCCAGUGCCAACCAAGUCUACAGUUCAUCCCAGAACUUGGCCUUCCUCUCCUGCACCUACUCCCUCAGUUGUCGCCUCACCAGGUAUAGCAAAUACCACUCGGACUCCAACCUCACAGCCUGCGCCAAAGUCUACCCCGACUCCAGCUUCAUUGGAGGAAUCGUCCUUGUCUUGGGUGUGCAGACUGUAAUUUUCUUUAUGUAAAAACUCUGCAAAUCUAAAGAAUGAAAUUACCAUACUCUGUAA